UUGGGCCCAUAUUGAUAUUACAG
rnacentral:siRNA from 1 species